GCCGAGCCCAUGGAUGCGGGGGGUCUCCAGCACCUCCUCCUCACGUUUAUAAAGAUGCACUCUGCCGGUGCCUCCCUUCGUCUAAGAAGAUACUCGGGGGGGGUCGCGUGAAUUUAUGCCGGUGAUGAUUACACGUUCUCUAUCAGCUUCUCACGUGGUUUGGUGGCUGUUUCUAUUCUAACUCCAGGAUACGGAGCUCGAGAACGGCUGCACCUGAUCAGCGACGCGCAGCCCUGACUCGGCGCCCGGACGACCCCGCACGGCUACAAAACGGAACGCUGUAUAAAAACAGAACCGCAGGACGCGGAACCGACGAAGCCCCGAGGCUGUGCAUAUUAAGAGCCAUAUUUGUGGGACAGUGGAUUUGCUCUGAAGACACAGAGUGCUCUCUGAAAUCCUGACAGAACAGCUGCUGGAAAGGACAGAUGAUGAGGAACCUACUUCAGACAAGAGGCUACCUGCAGAACAGCAAAAGCCAGCCUGUGCCAAGAGCCAUUUACUCACUGCCUUGGACUGCAGAGGGCAUCAUGCUGGAUACCAGCAGGCUCAGCAGCCUACUUCAUUCUGUGCUAUCACCAGAUAAAACACACCUGCUGCUUGCUGUGCUGGGAAUAGAAAUGGAGCUAUGGUAGGUAAAGGCUACAAACUACUUACCUUCAAAGGUCCAGCUUUCGUGACAACAUCUUCUGGUUGAGCUUGUUUGUCAGAAAGAAACUUAUCUGUUGCAAUAAUCUACAGAGCAUAUUCUUCUGUACCUGCAAAAAGAGAUCCACCUGCAGCACUGGCACCUCAACAAGGAUGCCCAGUAGGGCAUCACAACCAUCAAAGACUCUGCGCACGAUUAUCACUAGCAUCACCUCUGAACAAUUUUCAGCUCCAAUGCUGUUCACUGCAGGUGGUGGCUCAAGCAUCAGUGCAAACCUGGUUAUCCCUGCAGCUCAAGUUGUUUAACUUGGGUGUAUUGGCGGUAACUAUACAGGUGUUAACAAGAAUGGCAGCUACAAGGAUAAUAGUAGAAGUACAGAAGGUAUAAGGAAGAAAAGGGAACUCACCAGUGAUGACUCUAGAAGCUGAGGCAAUCUUCACUGGCGAGCGAUCUCCAAGAGAUGCUGCCUCAGUGAGGGUCAGCCCUUAAAUAAGUUCUCAGAGGAGGUGGAGUCGAACUCCACCCCU